GAAGGGGGUGAAAGAAGGGGGGAAGGAUGGGGGAGGGAGGAAAGGAAAGAGGAGGGGUAGAAAGGAAGGGGUUGUGCGGUGCGGUGCAGAAAAGGCGGUGGAUAUCAGUUAUCCUUCGCCCUUCACCUGGUCACAGGACCAGCCUCACAGCAGUUACCAGCCUGCUCUUGGACAGUUCCUAACCGGGCUGGUUAGUCCGGCUGCAGGCGUUUGCCCGCGGAAACUUUAAAGAGUCAAGGAGGACAAGCCUCGAUUCCCGCCUCUCGCCAUUUUCUUUACCCUUUUUCUUCACCCCCUCCCUCUACACCCACCCCGACCGACACUCUACCUCCCCGGCCCCGGCCCCUGCCCCGGCCAUAUCGCCAGCACUACACAGUAGGAAGGCGCUGCGUUACCCCGCGUCCAAACUGUUUGUCAUAGUCUGUGAUUAAAGGAACAUUGGAAAAAGAGAAGGCUCAGAUGGCCAAUCAAGUAAACUUGACCAAUCGGCUGCUGAGGCUGAGAGCAGGACCGGUGUUUUCUUUGAGUCGGAAAGGUCUCCAUUAGAUCCAGUGCCACAAGUGGCCGAACCCGUGGAACAGUGGCGCAGAGCAGCAAUGGAGGACACCACCACAUCGCCUAGCCAGGACGACUCCAGCAACGACAACCCCUGCAACUGACCCAGAGCCAUGCCAGGACAGUGGGACUCGAUGGCCAAGUUAAGACUGACAUUUCAAAAAAAAUUCAGACAUGAAGGGUACUAGAUGGCACCUAAAACAUGGUGUUGUGUAUGGACUCGGUGUGGUCUACUACCCUACACACUUAUACUUGGUAUGAUUGCAGCUGCUAAUGUAUAGCACGAUUGUAACUGAAUUGCAUUCAAAAAUAGUAAGAUCAAACGAGAACUUACCAGUUUGAAGUUUGAUCUGUAUUUUAUGAGGAGUUACGAUGAGGGAUUACGUGAAGAACCCCGCCAGGACGCAUACGUGUCAUUCUUCAAAGCAGCGGUGUGAAAUCACAGAUAACUGUAAUGACUAAACAUAGUAAGAUUAGAGAAGAGAUACCAGUUAAGUAUAUGAUCAGGGUGGGAGCGGAGGGCACGUAAUCCCUCAUCGUAACUCCUCAUAAAAUACAGAUCAAACUUCAAACUGGUAAGUUCUCGUUUAAUCUUACUAUUUUACUUCGGAGUCACGUGAGUGACCACGUGAAGAUUUUAAAGCUCUGUGAUUUCAUGCCGUGGAAACGAGUCCAUGCAUCACGUCUGCCUUGACUGUGGGAGGAAUUGUGUUAACAUAAUUUGGACAUGAAUUCGACAUUGAAAUCAUAAAAAGUUUUAACACAAAUUUAUAACCCCUUUUUAUGGGUUUAAAUUAAUUUACAGAACUUAAAUUGUUUCUGCAAACGUUCCAGGUUUCAUUACUGGUUUAUUAUAAAAUAAUUGGAAUGUUUUCCCCUCCAGACCAUCCUGCUGCCUUGAGGAUUUGGUCCAUUGGAACAUCCAAAUGUAUCGCUGCCGAUGUAGCUGCAGCCCUGGUGGAAAGAGAUUUUUAAAAUUAGUAUCCACCCCAGCCUGUGUUAGCACCUGUUUCAGCCAUCUUGAGAUGGUCUGGCCCAUCACUCUUGGUGUGGUUUCUAGUGGCUGCCAAAAUGUGCCUUUUCAUUGCCUCUUAGGAUUUUCGUUUUCUCCAUGUAUAACGACGAUGUCUUAUUAUACACAGACGGUCAUCUGUUGGGUAUGACCUAAUUGUAUAUUGAGGCCUGCUGAUCCCUUUUCUGUUCUGCUUACUAUCUCAUAAAUAUGAAACGUAAUAUUUUCUGUUGAGGAAGUCAUGUUGUCCAGUCUAGAUUUUUCAGUGACUGUAUCCUCUGUGCCGUGACCAAUGCCAUUAGCAUGACUGUUUUUAAUGUCAGUCUGUGUAGGGAAUUAACUGUUGCUGGAAACCAAUUCCUGAGCAUCUUCAGGAUUAUUCUCACAUCCCAUAUUUGGGAGUAUCUGGUUCCCCUCAUAGGUUUUGUACCAGUGGGUGAGUCCCAACAGUGUAAUGGUCUGUCCCCUGCCAUAGGUAAGUCGAUAGGGCACUUCUGACGCAGUUGAUGGCACUGUAACUGAGCCCCUCAUCAUAGUGGAGG